GGUGAUGAUGGCCACCCUGGAGCUGACACCAAGUUUAGAUUCCCUAGUGGAUGAAGAUGAGAUCAGCCACACAGUAGUGCAGCAGCUGAACUCAAUAUUUGGAAAUGAUCUCAAGAAUCUGGAGAAGGUCUCUGAGUUGGUUGAAGAGCUGACCAAGACCAGGGAUGAGUUGGAGAAGAGGUUGCGUUUUGCCACUACAGAAGCUCCAGACAAGAUCACAAAAGCAGUGAAGGCAGCUGAAGAGGCUCUGAGCAAAGAGAAAAGUCUUGAAGAGGAGUGUAACAACCUUCAGGAACAAGCCAACGCACACACACAAAAAUAUGACGACCUUCUGAAUGACAUAGGACCAGGAGUUCGACAAGUGAGGGAAUUAGAGCGUGUUAAAUUGUACCAGGAAUUUGUAUCUGCUGUUGAUGAGCAGAGUAAAGAGAUAGAGGCAGCACUUCAUAUUGGUGCUGAGGGUCAGGCUCUGGUGGGGUACUGUCGACUCAUGGACACAACAAAAGCUGUACAAGGCUCUCACUGCUUGAACCUGGUAGCUUUUGUUACCAACACUCUUCUCUACUGGCAUCAAGUCUUCACCCUCAGGUUCACCAGUGAGUUUGAAGGUGUACUGAAGACCAUCAAGUGGCCCUUCACCACUGGCAACGACACUGUGCACCAACCACCAGCCUCCCCUGAGUCCCUCCAGCGACUGUGUACUCUCACCCAGUACUUGUUACAGCUGUCCCUGCCAGAUAAUAUAACAAGUGAGAAUUCCAAGCGACCAGAAUCUCCAGUCGCCUCUCCAGCAAUUGUGACCGACUUUGUAUCUCCAGUACUACCCAUUCACCUCUUGGUCAGACCGCUGGAGGUGAGAUUCUUUUUCCACUUCAGUGGUAAUAAGCCAACAAAUAGUCGGGAAAACCCCGAGUGGUACUUCACUCAAAUCCUAAAGUGGAUCUCUGCCCAUGAGAAUUUCCUCAACUCACGUAUCCAGCCAGUUUUAAAUCGCCUCGGCCAUCAAAACACUUCUGCAAAAGUGGAGUUCAUGAGAGGUCUAGUGCGCCUGGUUGUCAUUAAGUUGGCUGCAGACCUUCCUGAUGUUCAGUUUGAUGAUGACAUCUUCUGCUCCACUGUCCAAGAGACACUUAAUUUUGAGAGAGAGAUGAGUCUGACCUAUGGGUACCCGUCCUCACAGCCCUCUGUUCUCUCUGUCUUGACUCAGGGUCGUAUCUUUGCACGCUGGAUACAUGUUGAGAGAAAGUUUGCUCAGGAGCUGAUGGAUGAGCUGGUGUCAGACGAGGGAGCCUGGGUAGCGGUGGAGGGUGGUGAGGCAGCACACUGUGGAGAGCGCUUGAUCCUGCUCCUCCAGGGCAUCACUGACCGCUACAAGAGACUUCCUCAGCCGGGACACAGGUUACAGUUCCUGGAGCUACAACUCGAGCUUUUGGAUGACUUUCGGGUGCGAGUGUUGCAGGUGAUGAAGAGUGAGAGACAAGACCCUCUCACCUCCCAUUACCCUGCCAUCCUCAACACCGUCCACCACAUCACUGCCACACUACAUGACUGGGCAGACCUUCCUUUCUUUGUGGAAAUGCAGUACUACCAGGAGUGCUUUAGUAAUAUUCAGGAGCAGACAAGUGCAGCAAUAGCUAGUUAUGACAGCACUACUGCGUCCUCUACCUCUCCAGAUGACCCUGGGUCCUUCACCUUUAAUUCCCUUGAUGUCUCUCUCUUAAAUUCAUCCAUAUCCCCUGAGCUACUAGCAAGACAGGAUGCCCUUGAUACCCUAAACGUAAAUGCAGAAGUUCCAACAACGGCUCAACUGACUGAGGUCUUAGGUUCCGUGUUUGAUGGAACUAUGAAACUGUACACACACAUUGAGGGGGAGAUGGUUCGUACACUUGCCAGCUACGUCUUCAGUGAAGUCCGUGCCAGAAGCCAGCCUUACCGGCAGGAUAAGUGGUUCCACACAGUGAACCCAGGAGCCUCAAUGGACUUCACCAAAAUCAAUGAACUCAGCCCAAGUAUCUGUCCUCUAUUAGAAGUGCUUGCCAGACAUCUCCAUGCUCUCAGAGAUGUUCUUGCAGCUCCACUUUUUAUGCAACUGUGGAAGAUUGUAGCAGAUACACUAAAUAAGUAUGUGUACGAGGAAGUCAUACUGCAGACACGGUUCAGUGAUGUCGGUGCAGCUCAGUUUAAGUUUGACAUGACUAGAGGAAUUUUUCCCAUUUUUGGAGCAUUCACACAAAAACCCGAAAACUUCUUCAGAUUGGUGAAGGAGUCGGUGAUUCUUCUGACGCUACCCCAUCCCACUGCAUUCCUCCUGCGUGAUACUAUCCACAUGUGGCAUGACGAUCAGGAUGCCUUUAGCUUGGUUGUGUCCCCGGUGAAAGCAUUAGGUGAACAUGGCGUCACUCUACUAAAACCAAAGGAAGCUGAUACAGUUUUAAACAUUAGAAUAAAUGAACGUGACUGAUGAUGUUAGUAAGUCAAGAGGAUAUAAGAAUUAUCAUGUGAUUGAUGCAAUUUGCUGAAAGUAAGGACAAAAUAUACUGUAUAUUGUGUAAAUUACCAGCUGAGACAACCCUCCUUGCCUUAAGGUCACCAAUGAUAGUAGCAAGAUGGAUAAUACUUGGUUUAUGUUGUGUAAAUACAAGGUUCACAUUCUUAAAAAUGCACUGGGUUGACGGAAGUUAGGCACGAAACAUUCACGUAUUGCAUCGUAGAAAUACAAACUAUCCAAACUAUAAUUUCUUUAGAUUGGGUUAGGUGUAAAAAAAUGCUCGACUGAUUGUGUGACUAGACAUAUGAGCAUAGUAAUAAGAACUUUAGAUCCUCAUUUGUGUAAAUGUUUCUGUACUCUUUGUGUACUGUACAGUAAGUAAAUGAACUUUUUAUUGUAUUACUCUACUUUGCCAACUUACUAAUAAUGUUGUCAAUCCUGAUAUUUCACAGUAAGAUAGAAAAGCAACAUUGUUCACCAUUUUAGGAAUAAAAAAACAAAAACCUGCA
rnacentral:misc_RNA from 1 species